rnacentral:rRNA from 1 species
AAUAGAUACCCAGGUAGUCCACGCCGUAAACGUUGGAUACUAGGUGUGGCGGUCUUACCAACGACUGCCGUGCCGAAGCUAACGCAUUAAGUAUCCCGCCUGGGGAGUACGGCCGCAAGGCUAAAACUCAAAGGAAUUGACGGGUCCCCGCACAAGCGGCGGAGCAUGCGGCUUAAUUCGAUGCAACCCGAAGAACCUUACCUGGGUUUGACAUCACGGGAAAAGCUGUAGAAAUACAGUGUCCAUUAGGGCCCGUGACAGGUGGUGCAUGGCUGUCGUCAGCUCGUGUCGUGAGAUGUUGGGUUAAGUCCCGCAACGAGCGCAACCCUUGUCCUAUGUUGCCAGCGGUUCGGCCGGGGACUCAUAGGAGACUGCCGGGGAUAACUCGGAGGAAGGUGAGGACGACGUCAAGUCAUCAUGCCCCUUAUAUCCAGGGCUGCACGCAUGCUACAAUGGCCGGUACAACGGGCAGCGACCCCGGCGAGGGUGAGCGAAUCCGUAAAAAGCCGGUCCUAGUUCGGAUUGAAGUCUGCAACUCGACUUCAU